rnacentral:rRNA from 1 species
AUUGAACGCUGGCGGCAGGCCUAGCACAUGCAAGUCGAACGGUAACAGGAAACAGCUUGCUGUUUCGCUGACGAAUGGCGGACGGGUGAGUAAUGUCUGGGAAACUGCCUGAUGGAGGGGGAUAACUACUGGAAACGGUAGCUAAUACCGCAUAACGUCGCAAGACCAAAGAGGGGGACCUUCGGGCCUCUUGCCAUCGGAUGUGCCCAGAUGGGAUUAGCUAGUAGGUGGGGUAACGGCUCACCUAGGCGACGAUCCCUAGCUGGUCUGAGAGGAUGACCAGCCACACUGGAACUGAGACACGGUCCAGACUCCUACGGGAGGCAGCAGUGGGGAAUAUUGCACAAUGGGCGCAAGCCUGAUGCAGCCAUGCCGCGUGUAUGAAGAAGGCCUUCGGGUUGUAAAGUACUUUCAGCGGGGAGGAAGGGAGUAAAGUUAAUACCUUUGCUCAUUGACGUUACCCGCAGAAGAAGCACCGGCUAACUCCGUG